UUUAGAAGAUAAUGCAGUAAACAGAUUUUAUCUUGCUGUGAAUGGUGUUGCUGUCAUUUGUGCACUGGAACAGCAGCCCGGGUGCUGCAAAUAGAAUCUAGACUGUUUUGAUUAAGCGUGUGUGAAAGGACUGUUUAUUACACAAUCUUGGAAAGGAGGAUAAAGUGUCUGCUGAUUCUUGCUAAAACAGCUAUGUUUUGCUAGGAUCAUUGUUCAUAGCUACCAACAUCUGUGAAAGCAUUAUCUGGAAAGCAUUCAGCCCUUGCAGGUUUUGUAAACUGUUUUUAAACAGAUUUGAAGCUGCUGUUUCUGAUUGCUGCUGCGAAUGCUCUAAAAGUUUAGUAGCAGCAUCUCAACGACUCCAAGUUUUCUCAUGUGAAGCAGCAUCUUCAGCUAACUACAUUUCAUAGUCUAAAGCAGGAUCAUACCCUAUAGAUCUUAACARCCAUUCGGUUUUGAAUUAGUUUGUAAUUUGGGUUUCUUAGUUUUUAGUUUUGUUUAGAUUGUAUUAUUUUGGAUCAUUUCGUGUAUUUGUUAUCUUUUUGUGUUUUAACUGUUUGAGAAUAUCUGAACUGUUUUGGAUCGC